UAUCCGUAGGUGAACCUGCGGAAGGAUCAUUAACAAGUCCAUGUUGAUUAUUCCUGCAUCAUGUGCAAGGAUGGCAACAUCUGUUCCAUGCUGCACGUUCACUCUGCACAUGACAUUCUACGAGUCAUCUGAUGUCUUUAUUGGGAAUUGUGGCAAAUAACUUUUAACAAUGGAUCUCUAGGCUCUU
rnacentral:misc_RNA from 1 species